rnacentral:rRNA from 1 species
GAUGAACGCUGGCGGCGUGCCUAAUACAUGCAAGUCGAGCGAACGGACGAGAAGCUUGCUUUUCUGAUGUUAGCGGCGGACGGGUGAGUAACACGUGGAUAACCUACCUAUAAGACUGGGAUAACUUCGGGAAACCGGAGCUAAUACCGGAUAAUAUUUUGAACCGCAUGGUUCAAAAGUGAAAGACGGUCUUGCUGUCACUUAUAGAUGGAUCCGCGCUGCAUUAGCUAGUUGGUAAGGUAACGGCUUACCAAGGCAACGAUGCAUAGCGGACCUGAGAGGGUGAUCGGCCACACUGGAACUGAGACACGGUCCAGACUCCUACGGGAGGCAGCAGUAGGGAAUCUUCCGCAAUGGGCGAAAGCCUGACGGAGCAACGCCGCGUGAGUGAUGAAGGUCUUCGGAUCGUAAAACUCUGUUAUUAGGGAAGAACAAAUGUGUAAGUAACUGUGCACAUCUUGACGGUACCUAAUCAGAAAGCCACGGCUAACUACGUG